rnacentral:rRNA from 1 species
GACGUAGGGCGCGAGCGUUGUCCGGAUUUAUUGGGCGUAAAGAGCUCGUAGGUGGCCUGUCGCGUCGGCUGUGAAAACUCGGGGCUCAACUCCGAGCUUGCAGUCGAUACGGGCAGGCUAGAGUUCGGCAGGGGAGACUGGAAUUCCUGGUGUAGCGGUGAAAUGCGCAGAUAUCAGGAGGAACACCGGUGGCGAAGGCGGGUCUCUGGGCCGAUACUGACGCUGAGGAGCGAAAGCGUGGGGAGCGAACAGG